AGCUGCGUGUAUACCUAGUUGCCAGAACAACGGAAUUUGUUACAACGACAACAACUGCAUAUGUCGCACGGGAUUCACAGGAACUCGCUGUCAGUCUGAGCGUCCGUCUUGUUCGAGACCGUGUCUGAACGGCGGAAGGUGUGUUGGUCUAAAUAAAUGUAGGUGUCGAGCUGGUACCAGUGGUUCUAGAUGUCAAAUACGCGAAGUAACAGCGUGUAAACCAACAUGCCGGCACAUGGGAGUAUGUAUUCCGGGCAACAAAUGCGAAUGUCCGGUGGGAACUAAAGGACACAGAUGUGAAAUCAGG